rnacentral:rRNA from 1 species
GGCUGCGCACUCUAUGACGAAUUCCUACGGAGCGACGCCGCGUGGAUAUGAAGGCCGAAAGGUUGUAAAGUCCUUUUGCUGGGGAAGAAUAAGUGUGGGAGGGAAUGCCCGCAUGAUGACAUGAACCGGCGAAUAAGCCCCGGCCAACUCGUGCCAGCAGCCGCGGGNAAUAA